rnacentral:rRNA from 1 species
GACGAACGCUGGCGGCGUGCCUAAUACAUGCAAGUUGAGCGAUGAAGAUUGGUGCUUGCACCAAUUUGAAGAGCAGCGAACGGGUGAGUAACGCGUGGGGAAUCUGCCUUUGAGCGGGGGACAACAUUUGGAAACGAAUGCUAAUACCGCAUAACAACUUUAAACAUAAGUUUUAAGUUUGAAAGAUGCAAUUGCAUCACUCAAAGAGGAUCCCGCGUUGUAUUAGCUAGUUGGUGAGGUAAAGGCUCACCAAGGCGAUGAUACAUAGCCGACCUGAGAGGGUGAUCGGCCACAUUGGGACUGAGACACGGCCCAAACUCCUACGGGAGGCAGCAGUAGGGAAUCUUCGGCAAUGGACGAAAGUCUGACCGAGCAACGCCGCGUGAGUGAAGAAGGUUUUCGGAUCGUAAAACUCUGUUGGUAGAGAAGAACGUUGGUGAGAGUGGAAAGCUCAUCAAGUGACGGUAACUACCCAGAAAGGGACGGCUAACUACGUG